UAAUUUAAGGUUUAGCCUGCCCACUGAAAUUUUAAAUGGCCGUGGUAUUUUGACCGUGCUAAGGUAGCAUAAUCAUUAGUUUUUUAAUUAAAAACUGGAAUGAAAGGUUGGAUAAGAAAAUAGCUGUCUCUGUUAAAUUUAAUUAGAAUUUUAUUUUUAAGUUAAAAAGCUUAAAUAAUAUUAAAAGACGAGAAGACCCUAUAGAGUUUAAUUAUUUAAUAAAAAUUAUAUUUUAGUAUUUAUUUAUUUAUUUUAUUAAAUAAUUUGAUUGGGGGUGAUUGAAAAAUUUAAUUAACUUUUUUUACUUAAAAACAUUAAUUUAUGAAUGUAUGAUCCAAUAUUUUUGAUUAUAAGAUAAAAUUACCUUAGGGAUAACAGAGUAAUUUUUUUUGAAAGUUCUUAUUAAAAAAAAAGAUUGCGACCUCGAUGUUGGAUUAAAAUAAAUUUUUGGUGUAGAAGCUAAAAUAUUGGGUCUGUUCGACCUUUAAAAUUUUA
rnacentral:rRNA from 1 species